rnacentral:rRNA from 1 species
GACGAACGCUGGCGGCGUGCUUAACACAUGCAAGUCGAACGAGUGUCGAAUGGGUGAGUAAUACGUCGGUACCCUGCCCUCUUUAUGGGAUAAGCCCUUGAAACGGGGUCUAAUACCGACUUCGGGGGUUGGGAUCGCGGCCUAUCAGCUUGUUGGUGGGGUGAUCGCCUACCGAGGCGGUGACGGGCAGCGGGCAGGAGAGGGUGACCGGCAACGUUGGGACUGAGGUACGGCCCAGGGUACGACGGGAGGGAGCAGUGGGGGAUAUUGCAGAAAGGGCGAAGGCCUGAUGCAGCGACGCCGCGUGGGGGAUGAAGGCUUUCGAGUUGUGAACCUGUUGCGCUAUCGGACGGGUAGGUGGAGAAGAAGCGCCGGCUAACUACGUGCCAGCAGCCGCGGUAAUAC